rnacentral:rRNA from 1 species
CCUACGGGAGGCUGCAGUGGGGAAUAUUGGGCAAUGGGCGCAAGCCUGACCCAGCAACGCCGCGUGAAGGAAGAAGGCUCUCGGGUUGUAAACUUCCUUUCUCAGGGACGCAGCAAGUGACGGUACUUGAGGAAUAAGCCAUGGCUAACUACGUGCCAGCAGCCGCGGGAAUACGUAGGUGGCAAGCGUUAUCCGGAUUUACUGGGUGUAAAGGGCGUGUAGGCGGGACUGCAAGCCAGAUGUGAAAACCACGGGCUCAACCUGUGGCCUGCAUUUGAAACUGUAGUUCUUGAGUACUGGAGAGGCAGACGGAAUGCGUGGUGUAGCGGUGAAAUGCGUAGAUAUUAGGCAGAACACCAGUGGCGAAGGCGGUAUGCUGGACAGCAACUGACGCUGAGGCGCGAAAGCGUGGGGAGCGAACAGGAUUAGAUACCCCAGUAGUC